rnacentral:rRNA from 1 species
GGUUAAGCGACUAAGCGUACACGGUGGAUGCCCUGGCAGUCAGAGGCGAUGAAGGACGUGCUAAUCUGCGAUAAGCGUCGGUAAGGUGAUAUGAACCGUUAUAACCGGCGAUUUCCGAAUGGGGAAACCCAGUGUGAUUCGUCACACUAUCAUUAACUGAAUCCAUAGGUUAAUGAGGCGAACCGGGGGAACUGAAACAUCUAAGUACCCCGAGGAAAAGAAAUCAACCGAGAUUCCCCCAGUAGCGGCGAGCGAACGGGGAGCAGCCCAGAGCCUGAAUCAGUGUGUGUGUUAGUGGAAGCGUCUGGAAAGGCGCGCGAUACAGGGUGACAGCCCCGUACACAAAAAUGCACAUACUGUGAGCUCGAUGAGUAGGGCGGGACACGUGGUAUCCUGUCUGAAUAUGGGGGGACCAUCCUCCAAGGCUAAAUACUCCUGACUGACCGAUAGUGAACCAGUACCGUGAGGGAAAGGCGAAAAGAACCCCGGCGAGGGGAGUGAAAAAGAACCUGAAACCGUGUACGUACAAGCAGUGGGAGCACAGAGCAAUCUGUGUGACUGCGUACCUUUUGUAUAAUGGGUCAGCGACUUAUAUUCUGUAGCAAGGUUAACCGAAUAGGGGAGCCGAAGGGAAACCGAGUCUUAACUGGGCGUUAAGUUGCAGGGUAUAGACCCGAAACCCGGUGAUCUAGCCAUGGGCAGGUUGAAGGUUGGGUAACACUAACUGGAGGACCGAACCGACUAAUGUUGAAAAAUUAGCGGAUGACUUGUGGCUGGGGGUGAAAGGCCAAUCAAACCGGGAGAUAGCUGGUUCUCCCCGAAAGCUAUUUAGGUAGCGCCUCGUGAAUUCAUCUCCGGGGUAGAGCACUGUUUCGGCAAGGGGGUCAUCCCGACUUACCAACCCGAUGCAAACUGCGAAUACCGGAGAAUGUUAUCACGGGAGACACACGGCGGGUGCUAACGUCCGUCGUGAAGAGGGAAACAACCCAGACCGCCAGCUAAGGUCCCAAAGUCAUGGUUAAGUGGGAAACGAUGUGGGAAGGCCCAGACAGCCAGGAUGUUGGCUUAGAAGCAGCCAUCAUUUAAAGAAAGCGUAAUAGCUCACUGGUCGAGUCGGCCUGCGCGGAAGAUGUAACGGGGCUAAACCAUGCACCGAAGCUGCGGCAGCGACGCUGAUGCGUUGUUGGGUAGGGGAGCGUUCUGUAAGCCUGUGAAGGUGUGCUGUGAGGCAUGCUGGAGGUAUCAGAAGUGCGAAUGCUGACAUAAGUAACGAUAAAGCGGGUGAAAAGCCCGCUCGCCGGAAGACCAAGGGUUCCUGUCCAACGUUAAUCGGGGCAGGGUGAGUCGACCCCUAAGGCGAGGCCGAAAGGCGUAGUCGAUGGGAAACAGGUUAAUAUUCCUGUACUUGGUGUUACUGCGAAGGGGGACGGAGAAGGCUAUGUUGGCCGGGCGACGGUUGUCCCGGUUUAAGCGUGUAGGCUGGUUUUCCAGGCAAAUCCGGAAAAUCAAGGCUGAGGCGUGAUGACGAGGCACUACGGUGCUGAAGCAACAAAUGCCCUGCUUCCAGGAAAAGCCUCUAAGCAUCAGGUAACAUCAAAUCGUACCCCAAACCGACACAGGUGGUCAGGUAGAGAAUACCAAGGCGCUUGAGAGAACUCGGGUGAAGGAACUAGGCAAAAUGGUGCCGUAACUUCGGGAGAAGGCACGCUGAUAUGUAGGUGAAGUCCCUCGCGGAUGGAGCUGAAAUCAGUCGAAGAUACCAGCUGGCUGCAACUGUUUAUUAAAAACACAGCACUGUGCAAACACGAAAGUGGACGUAUACGGUGUGACGCCUGCCCGGUGCCGGAAGGUUAAUUGAUGGGGUUAGCGCAAGCGAAGCUCUUGAUCGAAGCCCCGGUAAACGGCGGCCGUAACUAUAACGGUCCUAAGGUAGCGAAAUUCCUUGUCGGGUAAGUUCCGACCUGCACGAAUGGCGUAAUGAUGGCCAGGCUGUCUCCACCCGAGACUCAGUGAAAUUGAACUCGCUGUGAAGAUGCAGUGUACCCGCGGCAAGACGGAAAGACCCCGUGAACCUUUACUAUAGCUUGACACUGAACAUUGAGCCUUGAUGUGUAGGAUAGGUGGGAGGCUUUGAAGUGUGGACGCCAGUCUGCAUGGAGCCGACCUUGAAAUACCACCCUUUAAUGUUUGAUGUUCUAACGUUGACCCGUGAUCCGGGUUGCGGACAGUGUCUGGUGGGUAGUUUGACUGGGGCGGUCUCCUCCUAAAGAGUAACGGAGGAGCACGAAGGUUGGCUAAUCCUGGUCGGACAUCAGGAGGUUAGUGCAAUGGCAUAAGCCAGCUUGACUGCGAGCGUGACGGCGCGAGCAGGUGCGAAAGCAGGUCAUAGUGAUCCGGUGGUUCUGAAUGGAAGGGCCAUCGCUCAACGGAUAAAAGGUACUCCGGGGAUAACAGGCUGAUACCGCCCAAGAGUUCAUAUCGACGGCGGUGUUUGGCACCUCGAUGUCGGCUCAUCACAUCCUGGGGCUGAAGUAGGUCCCAAGGGUAUGGCUGUUCGCCAUUUAAAGUGGUACGCGAGCUGGGUUUAGAACGUCGUGAGACAGUUCGGUCCCUAUCUGCCGUGGGCGCUGGAGAACUGAGGGGGGCUGCUCCUAGUACGAGAGGACCGGAGUGGACGCAUCACUGGUGUUCGGGUUGUCAUGCCAAUGGCACUGCCCGGUAGCUAAAUGCGGAAGAGAUAAGUGCUGAAAGCAUCUAAGCACGAAACUUGCCCCGAGAUGAGUUCUCCCUGACCCUUUAAGGGUCCUGAAGGAACGUUGAAGACGACGACGUUGAUAGGCCGGGUGUGUAAGCGCAGCGAUGCGUUGAGCUAACCGGUACUAAUGAACCGUGAGGCUUAACCUU